rnacentral:rRNA from 1 species
AUUGAACGCUGGCGGAAUGCUUUACACAUGCAAGUCGAACGGCAGCACGGGGGCAACCCUGGUGGCGAGUGGCGAACGGGUGAGUAAUACAUCGGAACGUGCCCAGUCGUGGGGGAUAACGUAGCGAAAGUUACGCUAAUACCGCAUACGAUCUACGGAUGAAAGCGGGGGACCGUAAGGCCUCGCGCGAUUGGAGCGGCCGAUGUCAGAUUAGGUAGUUGGUGAGGUAAAGGCUCGCCAAGCCGACGAUCUGUAGCUGGUCUGAGAGGACGACCAGCCACCCUGGGACUGAGACACGGCCCAGACUCCUACGGGAAGCAGCAGUGGGGAAUUUUGGACAAUGGGCGCAAGCCUGAUCCAGCCAUUCCGCGUGCAGGACGAAGGCCUUCGGGUUGUAAACUGCUUUUGUACGGAACGAAAAGGCCCUGGUUAAUACCUGGGGCUCAUGACGGUACCGUAAGAAUAAGCACCGGCUAACUACGUGCCAGCAGCCGCAGUAA